UGGGGAAUUUUGGACAAUGGGCGAAAGCCUGAUCCAGCAAUGCCGCGUGUGUGAAGAAGGCCUUCGGGUUGUAAAGCACUUUUGUCCGGAAAGAAAAUCCUUGGCUCUAAUACAGUCGGGGGAUGACGGUACCGGAAGAAUAAGCACCGGCUAACUACGUGCCAGCAGCCGCGGUAAUACGUAGGGUGCAAGCGUUAAUCGGAAUUACUGGGCGUAAAGCGUGCGCAGGCGGUUUGCUAAGACCGAUGUGAAAUCCCCGGGCUCAACCUGGGAACUGCAUUGGUGACUGGCAGGCUAGAGUAUGGCAGAGGGGGGUAGAAUUCCACGUGUAGCAGUGAAAUGCGUAGAGAUGUGGAGGAAUACCGAUGGCGAAGGCAGCCCCCUGGGCCAAAUACUGACGCUCAUGCACGAAAAGCGUGGGGGAGCAAAACAGGAUUAGAUACCCUGGUAGUCCACGCCCUAAAACGAUGUC
rnacentral:rRNA from 1 species